rnacentral:lncRNA from 1 species
CCAGGGACACAGGUGUUCUGCCCCCAGGGACACAGGUGUCCUGCCCUUGUGGACCCAGGUGUCCUGCUCAUGGGGACCCAGGCGUCCUGCCCCCAAGGGACCCAGGUGUCCUGCCCGUGGGGACCCAGGUGUCCUGCUCAUGGGGACCCAGGUGUCCUGCCCCCAAGGGACCCAGGCGUCCUGCUCAUGGGGACCCAGGUGUCCUGCCCCCCAGGGACCCAGGUGUCCUGCUCAUGGGGACCCAGGCAUCCCACCCCGGGGCCCAGGUGUCCUGCUCAUGGGGGCCCAGGUGUCCUGCUCAUGGGGACCUAGAUGUCCUGCCCUUGGGGACCCAGGCGUCCUGCUCAUGGGGGCCCAGGUGUCCUGCCCUUGGGGACCCAGGCGUCCUGCUCAUGGGGACCCAGGUGUCCCACCCCGGGGCCCAGGCGUCCUGCUCCUGGGGGCCCAGGCGUCCGGCUCACCGGGCAUGCUGGCCCUCGCCGCUGUAGCGCAGGCGCUGCAGGAUGGUGCUCAGCGCCGCCGCCUCGGCCCGCAGCUGCUCCAGCGCCGCCGCGUUGCGCUGGGCCAGCGCCGCCAGCCGGGGCCCCAGGGCCGCCCGUGCUGCCACCUGCGUGGGGACACGGGGACGGGGGACAUGGGGACAUGGGACACGGGGACAUGGGGACACAGGGACAUGGGGACACGGGGUCAUGGGGACAUGGGGACAUGGGGACAUGGGGACAUGGGACAUGGGGACAUGGGGACAUGAGACCUGGGGACAUGGAGACACAGAGACAUGGAGACACAGAGACACAAGGACAUGGGGACACAGGGACAGAGGGACAUGGGACACAGGGACAUGGGACACAGGGACAUGGGGACAUGGAAACAUGGAGACAUGGGGAUAUGGAGACAUGGGGACACGGGGACACGGGGACAUGGGGACACGGGGACAUGGGACCAGGGGACAUGGAGACAUGGAGACACAGGGACAUGGGGAUAUGGGGACACGGGGACAUGGGGACAUGGAGACAUGGGACCAGGGGACAUGGAAACAUGGGGACACAGGGACACGGGGACAUGGGGACAUGGGGACACAGGGACACGGAGACAUGGGGACAUGGGACCGGGGGACAUGGAGACAUGGGGACAUGGGGACAUGGGGACAUGGAGACAUGGGGAC